rnacentral:rRNA from 1 species
UACGUAGGGAGCAAGCGUUGUCCGGAAUCAUUGGGCGUAAAGCGCACGUAGGCGGAUCCUUAAGUCGGGGGUGAAAUCCUGGAGCUCAACUCCAGAACUGCCUUCGAUACUGAGGAUCUCGAGUCCGGGAGAGGUGAGUGGAACUGCGAGUGUAGAGGUGAAAUGCGCAGAUAUCGGGAAGAACACCCGUGGCGAAGGCGGUUCACUGGGGAC